rnacentral:rRNA from 1 species
AACGUAGGGGACAAGCGUUAUCCGGAUUUACUGGGCGUAAAGCGCCCGUAGGCGGCUUAACAAGUUGGAUGUGAAAGCUCCCGGCUUAACUGGGAGAGGUCAUUCAAAACUGUUAGGCUAGAGGAUGGAAGAGGAGAGCGGAAUUCCCGGUGUAGUGGUGGAAUGCGUAGAGAUCGGGAGGAACACCAGUGGCGAAAGCGGCUCUCUGGUUCACACCUGACGCUGAUGCGCGAAAGCUAGGGGAGCAAACGGG